GCAUCAGACAAAGUCCCACGAGAAUAACAAAUAUAACAUCAAAACCAAAUACAUGAAUUUGGGAUAGACAAGUACCGUGACACGUCUUAUCGCAUUGUGAAUUUACACUAAAAAAUAAGAGAAAACAAACGACGCAACGUUUAAAUGUAACACACACAGAAACGAACUAUAAUAUAACAAUGGCCAUAUUCCUGACUUUGUAUAGGACAUUUUAAAAGGAAAAAAUGGUGGGUUGAACCUGGUUUUGUGGCAUGCAAAACUUCCCUCUUUUAUAGCCAUGUGAAAUAUAACAUCAAAAUGACAACACAACACCACAGGACUACAAUAAAAAUAAAUUGGAGAACACAAUUGACAAAGAAACAUACGAACAACAGCCAACAAAGGCAACAAGUUCAAAAUUUUAAUACGCCAGAAGUGCAUUUUGUCCACACAAGACCAACUAGUGACGCCCAGAUACAAAAGUUUGAAAGCCGAAACAAGUACAAAGUUGAACAGCAUCGAGGACCAAAAGAUAAAAAAGGUCGUGCCAAA
rnacentral:lncRNA from 1 species